UUCGUUGCGCGCGCGCAUGUAAACACACCCGUAAACAUUUCAAAUUUCGAACGUUACCGACGCGCGUGUUUUUUUUUCACGUCAUACAUAACAGUGAUUUGAAAAAUAAAAAAAAAUAUUUUUAGCUAUGAUAUAAAAUGUUAUAAACAAGUCAUGUUUUGUGUGUUUGUGUGAUCGGCGACUGGAAUGGCGGGCACAAUGAGUCCGCCGCAGAAUUGGCACAAAUGGCUAGUGUUGUCAGUGUUCGGAUUGGCUUUGUCCGCUCGCACAAUUGCCUGCGAUUACGGCUCCGUCACCGAGAAAUUUGGAGCGGAAGCUGUGGCGCGUUGCAGCGAGAAAUGCCCUUUCCAGAACCGAACGGGUGACGGCCAUUUUGAUGUGAGCUGCGGAUCCGACUGCAGUGUCCAGCAGUGCAGUCUUGGUUGUAAUCUUUGGUUAGAAGGCCUGGAAAAUUCCUGCCAAACUGUUUGCAAUGUAACGUCUGAAACUGUCAUAUCAAGAGAGUUGUAUUGUGUUAUGGGAUGCAACGAAGCCCUUAACACGUAUUUGCAAAAGAUUCGAGAUCUUCUGGGUACACCACCUGCGCCAGCAUUAGUAGCAGAUAGCCUCACAGCCACGUCUCUAUCUCUCGUGUGGGAUGCUCCUAAUCUCACCAACCUCAGCUACCUCUUGCAAUGGCGCUACGAAGAGCUCCCUGGGAGCUGGCAGUACUAUUCCAACUCCAGUCAUUCCGACAGAUCAAUAAUCCACGUCGAAAAUUUGAGGCCAUACACAAAAUAUAGAUUCCGAGUGGCAAUAUUCCUUUCGGGGCACAACGGCGAGCCGGUGUACUCAACACCAUCAGUAGUGAUAUCAACUCUCGAGAGUGGGGAACCUAGCUCAGCUCCGACUGCAUUGCGAGCCGCGGCGCCUGACCCCACCCGGGUUGCUAUCUCCUGGGAGCCAGGACCCUUCCCCAACGGACCCCUUAUUUCGUAUGUGGUCAGAUUAGCGGAUACCCAGCCUAACACUAACGAUGCUUUGGAGGAUAUGCCGGCGUCAAACAAUACUUUGUUCUACAUGUUCCAAAACUUGGCACCAGCUCGGGAAUACGAAGUGUCAGUGGCAAUGCGAAACGCUGUCGGAGAGGGCCCGAGAGCCUACGUAAGAAUAAAAACUCCACCCUCACCUACCUCUGUUCCAAGUCAGCAGCCUGUAUUGAUUGUAGGAGGCGACCAUAAUAUUCUAGCUGCACUUGCAAACGAUAUGUUAUCUGAUCCAAUAGAACUAUAUAGCACUGAACAUACCAUUACCGGUGUUGGUCUCGACUUUUCCAGCGAUUCUUUGUUUGUGUCUGUCUCAAAUGGUUACGUUUACCGAAGUUCCCUAACGAAGAAGAGUUCUUCUGAACCUAUUUUAACACCAGAGCAUAUUUCAUACAAACCAUUGGAUUUGUCCGUUGAUUGGCUAAAUAAGCAUCUAUACGUACUUGGUGAAGUUUAUUACACUAAAGAUGGUACAAAUUGGCCGAACACCAGCUUAUAUUCAAGUUGGGAAAUAUUGAGAUGUGAUUUUGAUGGAAAAAAUAAAAUUGUUGCUUUGUCAGGAUUCAAUUCGCGUCCCAUACAUUUUGAGGUUGACGCUUACAAUGGAUAUCUGUUUUGGGCACUACGUGGAGCAGAACGUGGUGGUUUGUACAGAUUGGAUCUAGCAAACAUUUCCAACGGCGUUAGACACGAUGCUCCUCCAGAGCAGAUUGUGAGAGAUGCUCAUCUAGGAGCCUUCACAGUAGACCAUGCGGAUUUCAGACUACUUGUCGCACAUCUCAGGCAGAACACAGUACUUGCAGUUUCUCUUGAUGGACGAGAAGUAACAGACUUUCGUAGCAAUACGCAAACGCCAAUGUUUUUUUCAACAAAGUCUAUAGCUUACGCUAAUGGUCUUUUUUAUUGGACAAAUGGCCGUGAAACGCUGACAGAAGAAUAUCACCCGCAAAGCGACAGUUAUUUUCACAAUGAAUACCCCUUAGCAUAUAACACCAAGACAAUAGCUACAAGACAAGUGUUGGUGGCAUUGAGAAGUUGUCAACCCAUACCAGUUCCUGUUAAUCCUCCUUUAGGAGUUCAAAGCAUUAUUGGAAUAGACCGUGCCAAAGUCUCGUGGUCGCCACCACAUCUUUUAGGACAUCAGGGAACCGGCGCUUGGCAGCAAUGGACAUUUCAAUUACAAGUAACAAAAGCUUCAACUGGGGAUAUUCUUAAAAUAGAAAACAUCAAAGAAUCAAUGUACAUCGUGGAAAAUAUGUCACCAGAUACUGAAUACAUUUUUCGAGUAGCAGCUGUUACAGAAUCAGGAUCAGGACCGUGGUCUUCUGAAUUUAUGGGAAAAACGUUAACGUAUUCUCCUACUACCUCUCAAAGUACCCUAUUAUGGUCCGGUCCUGGUGGUCUACUGCAAACUGACUUGACGGGAGAUAACUUGCAAACUCUGAUCCACAGAGCUUUCCUGAAAACGGUGUAUAUUACUGAUAUUUCUUGGUACCGAGACAAACUAUAUUUGGUCACUAACGCCUCCACUGUAAUGUGGUACAACACGACGACCCAUGAAAUGGGAUAUAUGCCGAAUAUGGAUAAUGUUGGAAGUUUAGCUAUAGAUUGGGUUGGGAAAAAAAUGUAUUGGUCAAAUCCUAAACAACAAUUGAUCACUAGGGCGAAUUUCGAUGGUGGUAAUCGUGAACCAGUUCCAAUAGUGACAGUAGCAAAGGAGCUCACUAUUGACUCUUUGCAAGCAUACAUUUAUUGGAACACUGGCCAUGCAGUGGAAGCGUCAAGACUAAAUGGAGAGAAUAAAAUUAUUUACUAUCCUGCUCAAUUAUUUAGUGGUAAACAAGUAAUGGGACUUACUGCCGACCUGGAAAAUAAAUGGUUGUACUGGUUGGUCAGGAGUUAUGACGGUUCUGAAUUGCAUCGAGCACAGACAGCGGAUCAAAUAUCAGCUGGUAUUAACGAGGUAUCUGGAUCUUUAUUAACACCCUUAGGAGGAACAGGAACUUUAGGACCACUUUGCUACUUCAGUGGAAGGCUGGUUUGGGUACAGGAUUCUUCUAGAGCAGUAGUAUCAGACCUGGUUGGAAGAUAUACUGCUGAACUUAUACCUCGCGUUCAAGUUAUUGCCGUGAGGGAUCCAACAUUGCAUAAAGAUAGUGAAUCUAUAAUCGCUAUUCCGGAAACAAUAAACUCUUCGUCCAUUGCGGUAAAAGGAGAAUGGGACAAGUUCAAUGUGACGUGGGCGCCGGCUGAACGUGUCAACCUGAACACAAGCAGGGUGUACUAUGACGUCAGCUUGCACUUCCACGGACAGUAUAAAACUGAGAGAACAGUGGACGUAGCCUGGGUGGAAGUGCGGUCGCGCUCCGUGUCGCCGUACAGCAGUGUGGAGGCGACGGUGCGCGCGUACACGCAGUGGGGCGGCGGCGCCGUCGCGCGCGCGUCGCUCCGCACCCCGCAGGCGCCGCCCGCCGCGCCCAGAGCACCCCGCGUAUAUGUACAACCUGCGCAUAGCGGCGGUCCUCUAACUGCGACGUUCAGAUGGGAAGCCCCCAGCAGAAGCAAUGGUGUAGUGCGUGGCUACGAAGCGCAGUGCUGGACGAUGGGCGUCAAGUCGGCACGCGUCAAGCCUUCAGCCUGCGCCGAUGCGCGACUGUCUCCGCUGCACACGCAACUCAUGCUAAGGGAUCUCGCAUCUGAUUCAACCUACUUCUUUCAGGUUCGUGCAUUCACCGAUGCUGGAUAUGGACAAUACUCUGAAAUCGUCAAUGCGUCAUCGUUAGAAAUCAAUCCAAUUCCUAAAAUAAUGAUAUCGUCACAAGAAUCAAUAAAGAUCGUCGAUUUAGAUUCCGGUGAAAGUGAACUUAUACCGAAGAGCACUGGAAUACCUAUCGAUUUUGCUGUGAAUAUCGAAGAAAAUGUUGCUUACUGGGCUAAUAAUUUAGAGGAAAUAUUCGCAUCUAGAAUCAAUGGCAGUGGGAACUAUAAGUUGACAUCAAUAAAUGGAACUGCAACCAGCAUUUGUGUGGAUUGGGUUAGUAGGUCAGUGUAUUGGACCCAACUAGAAAUGACAUCUACAGAAUCUUAUGUGAUGUAUCGAGCUGAUCUAGGAAUUCCUAAUACAAGACCACAUAUAAGUCGUGUUUUAGCAAGAAAACAACCGAUUUACAGUUUGCAAAUAGCUCCAACGUUACGGUCUUUAUAUUGGUACGAAGAAAGUAAUCAUAAGGGACUAGGAACAUUGAUGACUUCAAAGGUAGACGGAGGCAAUAUUAGACCAUUCUUUAAUCAUACUACGUUUGAUUUCGUUAAUGAAUGCAAUUGUCCUCAAAAUCCACAAAUAGCCAAAAGCUUCGUGAUUGACAUGGCCAUCGAACUUUAUUGGGUAGAUCCAUGGGCUCAUCAUAUAACAGCAUCAGACAUGAACGGCUGCCAUUGUAAAGUAGUAGUUAAUGCUACCGAAAAAAAGAAGUACGAGUUUCCCCCCAUGUCAAUUGCUGUAGAUAGCAAAUACAUCUAUUGGUAUAACUCUACAGGAAAAAAUAUAUUUUAUACCAACAAACUCAAGGGGAACCAAAUAAUACAGGUGAAGUCUUCUUUUGGGUACAAGAUCAUGGCACUAGAUCCUGCGAAUCAGCCGUACCCACGUAGAUCGUGUCUGUUUCCGAAUCCACGAAAACUAAUUCCCCAUGUAAUAUCUCAUUCUGCGAACAGCUUAACACUGAGACUGCCUAUAAUGGGCAAACCAGUGAAAUGUGAAAAACUGCAGUAUGAAAUGACGGCAACUGAAUACACAGUUUUUUAUCGCAUACAUGUGAAAAAUGAUUCGAUGACUUGUGAUAAGGAGACAUGUUUAUACUUGACGACUACUAGCACUAUCGUUGCUUUGAAUGAAUUGAAGCCUUUCACUAAUUAUACUGUGAUGCUUGAAGCCACUAACUACUAUGCAAAGCUUCAUGAGAUGAAACCAAUUCUCGGCGACACUUUGAUAAUACAAACAGCAGCUGAAGCGCCUACCGCUCCAAAAGAUGUAACCGUUAUGGUGUUGAGUCCUGUACUCGCGCAAGUGGAAUGGACUCCAGACCCUGGACUUUAUUACGAACUGCACUGGAGCACAGACGACUCAGUAACUCAGAAAAUAAAAGAACACAACACAUUCGAAGUGUCGGGCGGACGUCGGGCUAACAUGACGCGCCUGUCGCCCGCCACCGCGUACACGGUGUGGGUGCGCGCGCGCUCGCGGCACAGCUCGGUGGCGGCGGACUCCGCGCCGCAGCGCCUGCGGACGUACCCGCCGCCCGCGCCGCUCGCACUGCUCGACCCUACCGCCUACACGCUCACGGUCAUCUGGCCACCGCCCACUUCUUACAAGAUACAUUCCUACGCAGUGGAAUACACAGAGCUGUCGAGUGAGGGCGACAACUGGGCGCAGUGCGAGCAAAGUGGGAACGCAGAGUGGAAGGCGAGCGACCUAAGUCCGGGAACGCGGUACCGAUUCCGCUUGCGUCUGCAAUACGUCGAGCACGCUGAGCCGUACUACUGGCCGAUGGACGACCGAUUUACCUAUGUCACAUUAGGUGACGUGCCGGGCGCGCCGGGCCCGCUGCUGGUGGAGGCGGUGGGCGAACGCAUGCUGCGCGCGCGCUGGGCCGAGCCCGAAGCCCGAGGAGCGCCCAUCCAGGCUUACCGCAUCUGGGGCCGACCGAACCACAGGACAAGCUAUAACGAAGAAUAUAUAAUGAGCAAGAACAUAAGCGAGCUGUUACCAGACAAUCUGCCAAGCGACAUUGACGACGAAAUGAAACAGCACAUUGUUCGUGAAGGACUCGAACUGUUGUACAGUGGGAACGACACGUACUGGCUGAUCAGCUCGGGCGCGGUGUCGGCGGGCUACGCAGCGCGCGUGCAGGCGCGAAACAGCUACGGCUGGGGCGCGCUGUCCGCGCCGAGCGUGCUGCACGCGCCCGCGCCCGCCGCCGCGCCUCACCCCGCCGCACUCGCCGUUAUCGUGGCCGCGCUCGCCAUGCUGCUGCUCGCACUCGCCGCCGCGGUGUUCUACACAUAUAACAAUCGGAGCAAAAAGAAAGCAGCCAUUGAAAAUCAGCUGACGGCUAACAUCGUGCGGCGCGGGCCCGACGUAGAGCUGGCAACACUGCGGCAACUGCCCAUCCGACACUCGACAAAUAUUUUAUACAAUCAGGGAGUACACUGUCCGUCAGACGCAGAACUGGCCAGUCUGCCUCACAUCCGCAGAGAACAGAUCACGCUCACCAAGUUUCUCGGCUCGGGGGCGUUCGGCGAGGUGUUCGAGGGCGUAGCGCGCCAAAUCAAUAACAGCAAUACCGACAAUAAAGUUGCAGUAAAGACUUUACGCAAAGGUGCAACAGAGCAAGAAAAGACUGAAUUCCUGAAAGAAGCGGCGUUGAUGUCCAAUUUCAAACACGAGCACAUCCUGCGGCUCCUGGGCGUCUGUCUCGACAAUGACCCCAACUACAUUAUCAUGGAACUCAUGGAGGGAGGCGAUUUACUGAGCUACUUGCGCGCCAAACGAGCUUCUUUGUACACUCCAGAAUCCUUGACCCUGCUAGACCUACUAAACAUGUGCGUGGACGUAACAAAGGGAUGCCGCUACCUGGAAGAAAUGCAUUUCGUGCAUCGCGACCUCGCGUGCCGGAACUGUCUAGUAGCACACAGAGCUAACGGACGCGUUGUGAAGAUUGGUGACUUUGGACUCGCAAGAGAUAUCUAUAAAAACGACUAUUACAGAAAAGAAGGGGAAGGCUUGCUGCCAGUACGGUGGAUGGCUGUGGAAUGUCUUGUAGACGGUGUCUUCUCUUGCCAGUCGGACGUUUGGGCCUGGGGCGUGCUUUGUUGGGAGGUGCUAUCUCUGGGCCAGCAGCCGUACCCCGCGCGCACCAACCGGCAGGUGCUGUCACUGGUACGCGCCGGCGGCACGCCCGACCGCCCGCCCAACUGUCCUUCCGCCUUCUACGAACUAUUACAAAAAUGCUGGAGCUAUUCAGCCGAGGCGCGGCCGUCGUUCCGGCACUGUCUGGAGGUGGUGACGACACUGCGCGACAAGACGUCGCCCAACAUCACGCUCACCGCCACCGCCGAGCCCGCGCCGCACUACCUCACGCUGCUGGGAGACGGUACUACACUUGCUCACUAUGUGCACUACCGUUCCGGCACUGUAUGGAGGUGGUGACGACACUGCGCGACAAGACGUCGCCCAACAUCACGCUCACCGCCACCGCCGAGCCCGCGCCGCACUACCUCACGCUGCUGGGAGACGGUACUACACUUGCUCACUAUGUGCACUACCGUUCCGGCACUGUCUGGAGGUGGUGACGACACUGCGCGACAAGACGUCGCCCAACAUCACGCUCACCGCCACCGCCGAGCCCGCGCCGCACUACCUCACGCUGCUGGGAGACGGUACUACACUUGCUCACUAUGUGCACUACCGUUCCGGCACUGUCUGGAGGUGGUGACGACACUGCGCGACAAGACGUCGCCCAACAUCACGCUCACCGCCACCGCCGAGCCCGCACCGCACUACCUCACGCUGCUGGGAGACGGUACUACACUUGCUCACUAUGUGCACUACCGUUCCGGCACUGUCUGGAGGUGGUGACGACACUGCGCGACAAGACGUCGCCCAACAUCACGCUCACCGCCACCGCCGAGCCCGCGCCGCACUACCUCACGCUGCUGGGAGACGACGCUGUCGACAACCGCACCUACCUGCUGGACGAGAACGACAACACGUUGGGUUAGUUCCACACUCAUUACGAAUUAAAAGACGAAGACUUCCCGGAACACGAGAUGGAGCCAUCGCAUCUACUACCGCAGCGGGUGCCCAAGUAUUUAGAACUCAUGUACGAAAGCGACUCACCAGCAAACACCGUCUGCGACGGAUAUGAGAUACCGCGUACACCGUUCGCUUACGCGCCAUUUUCUAGGCACAGCAUAGUUGGUGUCGCACCCAACAGGCUAAUAAAACCUCCUUUGUAUAGAACUCAUUCCUUGCGAACGAGCCCUAGGCCUCCAAACGCGACGAUCAUCCCACUUCGGAAUGGCAUAGUUAAAAGAGCCUCGUUAUGCGAAGCCGGACAACGGUCGUGCCUAGAACCGCGGCCCGGUCCUUCGUACAAGGCCGGAACCUCUGAUAUAGACUUUGAUAAGCACAUCUUUAAGACUCCAUUUUAAACUGUGAUAUUAGGAACAGUGGCGACGCUAGACCGAAUGUGGACGUCACCGCUACGCGAGGCCCCAUUUCUCAGUCAAAAGUAAACUUUACAUUGUAUGUAAAAUAAUGAGGGGUCCCCAAACUAUUUCGGCCAGAGACGUCCAAAAUAAAACCCAAAUUUUCCUCAAUUAACCAACACGUUAAAAUUUUUUUUGUUCAUUUUAAUACAUAUACGAGUACAUAGCAAUUAGCCUCGUAAUGUGCCGAUGUUUGAAGGUAAUGAGUACAAUACAUUACCUGCCCUGCCUAGUGCCUACGUCGCUAAAGUAUGUAUUUGUAUGAAAGAAACAUCAACUUAUCGUAAAAUAUUUUAGAACCUUCAAAUAAGCUCAGUGUUUCGAGCAAGCCACCCAAGGGGCCCGAAUUCUAGAUUUUAUCAACCUCUAUUUUUAUUAAUUUCCAUCGAACCCCUAGAGAAUGGUAAUACUAGAGCCACUAGAGAUUAAUAUCGACCACUUUGGGAAUCCAUAAAUUAUUCACUAACAUUAUGAGGAAAUAAACAUUCAAGUUCCAACUAAUGUAGAGAAUAUUUCCAAAAUAUUUUUGCAAGGCCGUCAUCAGUCAACGUCGCCGACGCCUAGCGCCGCCACUAAUUAGGAAACUCAUUGUUAUUAUUCCACCGACAAAUAUUUCAUGUAUAAUUUAAUUAUUUAUUAUCUAGUUACUGUAAAAUGUAAAUAUGUGGACCAAUUCGAUGUAAAUAUUAACUAUAGGUCUUUGGGUAUUGUAUAUGGGAGCGUGUAGACAAAUUGGGUACAAAAUGAAACUAUGACGUCAUAAUAGUUAUGCAUUUAUUAUAAUACAUGUUCUAGAACUAAUUUUAUUAAAAAUAUGUACCUAUUGGUUUUUUCUGAUCUGUUCUAAUAAAACCAAACCAUACAUAUCAGUAA